UAACCUACGGGAGGCAGCAGUGAGGAAUAUUGGUCAAUGGGCGGGAGCCUGAACCAGCCAUGCCGCGUGAAGGCGAGUGCCCUACGGGCGUUAAACUUCUUUUGUGCGGGAGCAAUAAGGGCCACGUGUGGCCCGAUGAGAGUACCGCACGAAUAAGCAUCGGCUAACUCCGUGCCAGCAGCCGCGGUAAUACGGAGGAUCCGAGCGUUAUCCGGAUUUAUUGGGUUUAAAGGGUGCGUAGGCGGUCAGGUAAGUUAGAGGUGAAAGCUCGAUGCUCAACAUCGAAACUGCCUCUGAUACUGUCU
rnacentral:rRNA from 1 species